CGCGGAGUAGAGCAGUGGUAGCUCGCCAGGCUCAUAACCUGGAAGUCGUUGGUUCGAUCCCAUCCUCCGCAA
rnacentral:tRNA from 1 species